AUGUGGGAUACGUCUCCCAAGAAAGUCGAUGAGAAGAGCAGUAGCACCGGCGGCGGAAACUACACGCCACUGGCCGCAAGGAAGCCCAGCGCAGGCAAAGAAACUGUCGUGGUGCUGGCUGCAUCGUCGAGAGCCACCAAUGUGCUGAUACAGUAUCCGAUGCUGACGGACACGAACUACUCUUUGUGGGCCAUCAAGAUGAAAGUGCUGAUGAAGGUGCUCUGCGUCUGGUCGGCGAUUGAUGUCUCCGACGAUUACGACCAAGCGGCGGAUGAGGGAGCCUUCGCGGCGCUCUCUCAGUCCAUCUCAGAUCAUGUUAUGCUGCAGGUUGCAGACUGCGACACCGCGCAAGAGGCCUGGGAGAUGAUUCGAUCUGCGCGCAUUGGGGAGGAUCGCGUGAAGAAGGCGCGCGCGUGGCAACUGAAGAGGCAGUUCGAUCGCCUUUACAUGGCGAACGGGGAAACUAUCCCGGAGUUUGCCCGGAAACUCACCACAUUGGUGAGUGAGAUCCGCUCCCUCGGCGUCACCCUUGGCGAGGAGGCCAUGGUGGAGCGGCUGUUCAGCGCCGUCCCGGAUCGGUUCGCCGACAUCUUCAACACCAUCAAGCAGUGGGGCAACGUCAUCAAGAUGAUGGUGCAGGAGGCCGUUGGACGCCUCACGGUAUUCGAGGAGAACCAGCGGGGGUGCCGCCAGAGCCGUGGCGACAACAGCCAGCAGUUGAUGCUUGUGACCCGCGCGCUGGAAACCCUUAUGAAGGGGAAGAAAUUCGUCGACAACAAUGGGGUCUCCAUCUCUUUUGCAAAGAAAGGAGGCGGCCAGAGCGGUGGCCAAGGCGGUGGGCAGGACAAAGGUCCUGGUGAUCGCGGUCAGAACAAUGGAAAGGGCAAACAGAAAAAUCAUCGUAAGUUUGACAUCUCAAAAGUAAAAUGUUUUAACUGUGAUGUGAAUGGAGACUUUGCCUCCGACUGUCCGGAGCCCAAGCGUGAGCGUGCAAACCUGGCGCAGAAGCAAACUGAUGAAGAUCCAACCUUGUUCAUGACCGAGGUGUGUGAGCUUGUUGAGAACACCGAAAUCACAGGAGACAAGGUCAUGUUGCACGAAGGAAAAGUUAUGCGGAAACUGACAGGUCAUCAGACAAGACUUGGUAUCUUGAAACUGGAGCAAGCAACCACAUGA
rnacentral:rRNA from 1 species